GUUCCCUAUGUGACAGAACAUCUGAGAAGCCAAAGAAGAGACAGUGAGAAAACGGAAUUUUGUCUUAUUGUAGAAGACUGGUAUACCAUCUCAGGCAAAUGGACAUGGUAAAAGCUGAUCAAGAAUGGAUGAAUAUGGAGAAAGAAAGAGAGAAAGCCAAGGAAGCAAGAAGUUGAAAGCAACAAAACCUGGAAGAGAAGGGAGACACUAGCAGAGGCUGCCAUGUGCCUUGCCAUGUGGCAGAGGAGUCAAAGAUCCCUGGCAGCCCGUCUUUGGAAAGAACGUAUCACCUUGAUGAUGCCUUGAUUUGGACAUUUUUCUCAGCCUCAAAACCAAGAGAUUUUAAGCUAAUAAAUUCCCAUUGUUAAAGCCAAUGCAUUUCAGGGUAUCUGCUU